ACGAACACCUACAUGAUCAUCAAAUUAAAUAGAGGAAAACCCCCGGUACCACACACCCUUUUCUACACAUGAACAAACAGCAGAGCGAGAACCUGAGGGCUGUUUGGUGUCCACGCAGGGGCUGAUGGGAGGUGGGAGGGGCCAUUAGAAAGCAGGAGGCCCCAUUGCUUCGUCCUCCUCUUCAUCAGAUGCUGCUUCUCCAGGUUCACCAGAGGAAACGCCACAGAAUGCUUCUCCUGCUGCCGGCCGCUCUGUGCUGUCUGUGUUCAGCCCUGGUCACCAUGGCAACACAGCUGACCCAGGACAAGUUGUUCCUGAGCAGAGAAGUGGAUAAAUCGGGUUCAAUGAGCUGUGGUGGGACAGAGCAGUGUGAUGAUAAACAACUUUACUGGUUCCAGAAGAAAGACGGACAACCAUUCCAAAUCAUCAUCCAGUACAACUUAGAAAGUGAAAAAUCCACAAGUCGCAACAACCAUCCUGACAAAGACGACUUCAGCAUCUUGAAGACAGACAGUGGUAUUAAUCUGAUCAUAGCGAUAACAAAAGCUGCCCAUUCAGCCACCUACUACUGCGCCUGUUAUAAAGAAGUUCCCCACAGUGAGAAAGAACGCCGCUAACCUGAACAAAAACCUCCAGAUAUUCAACAGGAAGAAAAACCACAACCGCAUAUUUCUACUUCAUAUCAGAUGUACAUGCAGUGAUCUGAGAGCAGUUUGAAGAACUCAUGUCAACAUGGAGUUCACAGCCUCGAAAAUAAUCCCAAGACUAAACACACAAAGCCCUGACAGGGAAAUGACUGUGAGCGACGGGAAGAAAAGGAACGUCCAAAUGUGGACCACAGAGCAAACACAUAUUGCUGGUUCACAAUGAUCAGGUCAUCAAGUUCUCUUUAACAAAACAUACAAGAACCCACAAAUAGGAAAUGAGCUGUAGAAAUUAAAGAUAUGAGGCAGGGAUCUAAAACACAUUUUCUUUCAGGUUCCACAUUCAACCCAAUUUGAUCUCCAGUGG